AAUAUGGGGCAAUGGGCGCAAGCCUGACCCAGCAAGCCCGCGUGGAGGAAGAAGGCCUUCGGGUUGUCUACUUCUUUUAUCAGGGACGAAGACGUUACGGUACCUGCAGAAUAAGCUCCGGCUAACUACGUCCCAGCAGCCGCGGUAAUACGUAGGGAGCAAGCGUUAUCCGGAUUUACUGGGUGUAAAGGGCGCGUAGGCGGGAGUAUAAGUCAGAUGUGAAAUCUGGGGGCUCAACCCCCAAACUGCAUUUGAAACUAUAUUACUUGAGUGAUGGAGAGGCAAGUGGAAUUCCUAGUGUAGCGGUGAAAUGCGUAAAUAUUAGGAGGAACACCAGUGGCGAAGGCGACUUGCUGGACAUUAACUGACGCUGAGGCGCGAAAGCGUGGGGAGCAAACA
rnacentral:rRNA from 1 species